UUGUUGGUAAGGUGAAAGCUUACCAAGGCUUCGAUCAGUAGCUGGUCUGAGAGGACGACCAGCCACACUGGGACUGAGACACGGCCCAGACUCCUACGGGAGGCAGCAGUGGGGAAUUUUGGACAAUGGGGGCAACCCUGAUCCAGCCAUGCCGCGUGAGUGAAGAAGGCCUUCGGGUUGUAAAGCUCUUUCAGCCGGAACGAAACGGUUACGGAUAACACCCGUGACUACUGACGGUACCGGAAGAAGAAGCACCGGCUAACUACGUGCCAGCAGCCGCGGUAAUACGUAGGGUGCGAGCGUUAAUCGGAAUUACUGGGCGUAAAGCGUGCGCAGGUGGUUUUGUAAGUCAGAUGUGAAAGCCCCGGGCUCAACCUGGGAACUGCGUUUGAAACUACAAGACUAGAGUGUGGCAGAGGGGGGUGGAAUUCCGCGUGUAGCAGUGAAAUGCGUAGAGAUGUGGAGGAACACCGAUGGCGAAGGCAGCCCCCUGGGUCAACACUGACGCUCAGGCACGAAAGCAUGGGGAGCAAACAGGAUUAGAUACCCUGGUAGUCCAUGCCCUAAMCGAUGUCAACUAGUUGUCGGGCCUUUACGGGCUUGGUAACGUAGCUAACGCGUGAAGUUGACCGCCUGGGGAGUACGAUCGCAAGAUUAAAACUCAAAUGAAUUGACGGGGACCCGCACAAGCGGUGGAUUAUGUGGAUUAAUUCGAUGCAACGCGAAAAACCUUACCUACCCUUGACAUGUAUCGAAGCCCGCAGAAAAGCGGGGGUGCYCGAAAGGGAACGAUAACACAGGUGCUGCAUGGCUGUCGUCAGCUCGUGUCGUGAGAUGUUGGGUUAAGUCCCGCAACGAGCGCAACCCUUGUCAUUAAUUGCCAUCAUUUAGUUGGGCACUUUAAUGAGACUGCCGG
rnacentral:rRNA from 1 species